AAACGUAGGAGGCGAGCGUUAUCCGGAUUUACUGGGCGUAAAGUGCAUGUAGGCGGCCUGGUAAGUCGGGCGUGAAAUCUCCCGGCUCAACUGGGAGGGGUCGUCCGAUACUGCCAGGCUUGAGGGCAGGAGAGGGAAGUGGAAUUCCCGGUGUAGUGGUGGAAUACGUAGAUAUCGGGAGGAACACCAGUGGCGAAGGCGGCUUCCUGGCCUGCCCCUGACGCUGAGAUGCGAAAGCGUGGGGAGCGAACGGGAUUAGAAACCCUAGUAGUCC
rnacentral:rRNA from 1 species